AUUGAACGCUGGCGGCAUGCUUUACACAUGCAAGUCGAACGGUAACAGGCCGCAAGGUGCUGACGAGUGGCGAACGGGUGAGUAAUGCAUCGGAACGUGCCCAGUCGUGGGGGAUAACGCAGCGAAAGCUGCGCUAAUACCGCAUACGAUCUAUGGAUGAAAGCGGGGGACCGUAAGGCCUCGCGCGAUUGGAGCGGCCGAUGUCAGAUUAGGUAGUUGGUGGGGUAAAGGCUCACCAAGCCAGCGAUCUGUAGCUGGUCUGAGAGGACGACCAGCCACACUGGGACUGAGACACGGCCCAGACUCCUACGGGAGGCAGCAGUGGGGAAUUUUGGACAAUGGGCGCAAGCCUGAUCCAGCAAUGCCGCGUGCAGGAAGAAGGCCUUCGGGUUGUAAACUGCUUUUGUACGGAACGAAAAGGCUCUGGAUAAUACCUGGGGCUCAUGACGGUACCGUAAGAAUAAGCACCGGCUAACUACGUGCCAGCCGCCGCAGUAACAC
rnacentral:rRNA from 1 species